AUUGAACGCUGGCGGCAGGCCUAACACUGCAAGUCGAGCGGAAACGAGUAUCUAAACCCUCGGGGAACGAUAAGGCGUCGAGCGGCGGACGGGUGAGUAAUGCCUAGGAAAUUGCCAUGAUGUGGGGGAUAACCAUUGGAAACGAUGGCUAAUACCGCAUGAUGCCUACGGGCCAAAGAGGGGGACCUUCGGGCCUCUCGCGUCAGGAUAUGCCUAGGUGGGAUUAGCUAGUUGGUGAGGUAAGGGCUCACCAAGGCAACGAUCCCUAGCUGGUCUGAGAGGAUGAUCAGCCACACUGGAACUGAGACACGGUCCAGACUCCUACGGGAGGCAGCAGUGGGGAAUAUUGCACAAUGGGCGCAAGCCUGAUGCAGCCAUGCCGCGUGUGUGAAGAAGGCCUUCGGGUUGUAAAGCACUUUCAGUCGUGAGGAAGGUAGUGUGUUUAAUAGAUGCAUUAUUUGACGUUAGCGACAGAAGAAGCACCGGCUAACUCCGUGCCAGCAGCCGCGGUAAUACGGAGGGUGCGAGCGUUAAUCGGAAUUACUGGGCGUAAAGCGCAUGCAGGUGGUUUGUUAAGUCAGAUGUGAAAGCCCGGGGCUCAACCUCGGAAUAGCAUUUGAAACUGGCAGACUAGAGUACUGUAGAGGGGGGUAGAAUUUCAGGUGUAGCGGUGAAAUGCGUAGAGAUCUGAAGGAAUACCGGUGGCGAAGGCGGCCCCCUGGACAGAUACUGACACUCAGAUGCGAAAGCGUGGGGAGCAAACAGG
rnacentral:rRNA from 1 species